GCUGUGAUGGCCGAGAGGUUAAGGCGUUGGGUUUGAAAUCCAACUGGGGUCCCCUGCGUAGGUUCGAAUCCUAUUCCCAGCG